CUGGCGGCGUGCCUAAUACAUGCAAGUCGAGCGGAAUGAUGAAGAAGCUUGCUUCUUCUGAUUUUAGCGGCGGACGGGUGAGUAACACGUGGGCAACCUACCUUGUAGAUUGGGAUAACUCCGGGAAACCGGGGCUAAUACCGAAUAAUCCAUUUUGCUUCAUGGCGAGAUGUUGAAAGACGGUUUCGGCUGUCACUAUAAGAUGGGCCCGCGGCGCAUUAGCUAGUUGGUAGGGUAAUGGCCUACCAAGGCGACGAUGCGUAGCCGACCUGAGAGGGUGAUCGGCCACACUGGGACUGAGACACGGCCCAGACUCCUACGGGAGGCAGCAGUGGGGAAUCUUCCACAAUGGACGAAAGUCUGAUGGAGCAACGCCGCGUGAGUGAAGAAGGUUUUCGGAUCGUAAAACUCUGUUGUAAGGGAAGAACACGUACGAGAGUAACUGCUCGUACCUUGACGGUACCUUAUUAGAAAGCCACGGCUAACUACGUG
rnacentral:rRNA from 1 species